rnacentral:rRNA from 1 species
UACGAAGGGGGCUAGCGUUGCUCGGAAUCAUUGGGCGUAAAGCGCGCGUAGGUGGCUUCGUAAGUCCGUUGUGAAAGUCAAAGGCUCAACCUUUGAAUGCCGAUGGAUACUGCGAAGCUAGAGUACGGAAGAGGCGAGUGGAAUUCCUGGUGUAGCGGUGGAAUGCGCAGAUAUCAGGAGGAACACCAAUAGCGAAGGCAGCUCGCUGGGACGUUACUGACACUAAGGCGCGAAAGCGUGGGGAGCGAACAGG